AUUGAACGCUGGCGGCAGGCCUAACACAUGCAAGUCGAACGGCAGCACAGAAGAGCUUGCUCUUUGGGUGGCGAGUGGCGGACGGGUGAGUAAUGUCUGGGAAACUGCCCGAUGGAGGGGGAUAACUACUGGAAACGGUAGCUAAUACCGCAUAACGUCGCAAGACCAAAGUGGGGGACCUUCGGGCCUCACACCAUCGGAUGUGCCCAGAUGGGAUUAGCUAGUAGGUGGGGUAAUGGCUCACCUAGGCGACGAUCCCUAGCUGGUCUGAGAGGAUGACCAGCCACACUGGAACUGAGACACGGUCCAGACUCCUACGGGAGGCAGCAGUGGGGAAUAUUGCACAAUAGGCGCAAGCCUGAUGCAGCCAUGCCGCGUGUAUGAAGAAGGCCUUCGGGUUGUAAAGUACUUUCAGCGGGGAGGAAGGCGGUGAGGUUAAUAACCUCGCCGAUUGACGUUACCCGCAGAAGAAGCACCGGCUAACUCCGUGCCAGCAGCCGCAGUAACAC
rnacentral:rRNA from 1 species